UUCUUUGUACAAAAAAAAUUCCAAAGUCGGUUAAGUGGUACUUGUCAAUUUUGUCAACAAGCGUAUCGAGUGUCGGCAAUUAUUUUAUAUAAUGGUUUUUGUUGCGAUGUAUCGGGCGCGGUGCGCGAGGGUCUAGGCCGCGUGAGUAGAUGUACAGAUGAGAUAUAAACAGUCGUGCGGCCCGUGCAAAAGAGAGGAUAAAUACU